ACAAAAGUUUUAACAUAUGUUAAUUUUUAGACAUGUAUUAUAUAGUUUGAUAGUAUUAAGCCGUUCAAUCAUCAUAUAAUAUUUUUAAAAUAAAUAGUUUAUAUUUAUGAAAAUAAAAUUUAUAAAUUUAUCAGUUAAAUAUACUUUUAUCAUAUUAAUUUAAGUAUAAUAAUUGUAUUUUAACAUGAUCAUGACUAUAAAGUAGAUAAAAUAGGAUAUAAUAACAGUUUAUGGUUGCAAAAGAAAACCAAUUCUUUACAAUUACGUAAGAAAUUUAUUGUGUUUUACCCUCUGUUCGGAAACUCGCUAGGCUGCGGCUGACCCGGGCGUAGCGAGUUGACGGAAAAUCGGAAAAAAAUUGAAGAGUACGCGGAGAUUUUUUAUAGGUUUUUUUUUGCGUUUAUUCGUAUAUAUUAUGUUUCGUAAACUAAGACAUGGUAUCAUGAUAGUGUAGCGGUUUGUUUAAUAGGAGAAAUAUCCAGCAAUCUGUGUUCAACGUUCCAAACAUGUAAUUUUAUGUAUUUUUGUGUUUAUUUAAUGAGGGGUAAAAGAGUAAUUAACUCUUCAUCUUCUUAUUUCAGCUCAUUUCGUUUGCAAGCCUAGCCGCCAUGAUUUUUUUUAACUUAAUUUUUUGUUUAAUUAGGUGAUUUGUCUCGUUUUCACUUAGUUUUCAUGAUAUUAGCAAUAAAACAUGACAUAUUUAAGAUUCAAGUGUCAAUGUUGAAGAAAAUUUCACCCAAAAAAAAUUUCUCUGAUUUUAUGGCUGAGUAAGGUCAAAACACCACGGUGCAUCACCGUUGUGCGUUUAUACGCCGCAUUAUCGGUCAUUCCGAGCGAGUUUCAGAGCAUGGACUUUUACCAUAUACUUAUGUUUUAAAUUGUUACUGUGUGAAAUAAUGGUUUUAGCUUGUUAAUCACACACACAUUUAACUGUCGAUAUUAGAAAGAUAUACACGAUUAUUAUUCAGUGCAGAUAGUAGCUGAUCCUUUUUAGCAUUAAAACUUUGGUACUUGAUCAUGAUUAAAGUCCUACCAUAUUCAACCUUAGCGCGAUAUAAAAGUAGUAUGUUAUGAUGAAUUUUCUACACACAGAUCUAUGUAUUUUAGUGUUAUUUUUUUAUUUUUAUAGACGAGAAGAGUGUGUCGUGUACAAAGGAUAUUCACAAGCUACAGAAUAUAUUAAAAAUCGUGUAAUGUGAAAGGCGACAGAGCUUUGAUGAGAUAGCUGUCUAGUCUCUGUAGCUAUUUUGCCCAUUUAGCCCAGCAGUAGUAUUUGUUUUUUUUAACAAACGUCCAGCAAAAGUAUUCAACACAAUAAUAAAACAAAAUUUCUGACGCAACAGAUUUUUAGAAGCCUGUAACACAACCAUGUCAAUAAAUGAAAAAAAAUAAAAAAUUAAUUAAAGUAUUUCAUUUUUACACAUCAUUUUUAGUAAACUACACAUAAGAGCAUCAUUAUCGGGGUCUUUUAAGUGGGUUGCUUAAAUUAAUUGUGAUUAAAAAAAAAUGAAAAUUACCUAUUUAUCAUAGAGACGUCGCUUAAUUAGGAGGAGGAAGAGACGUCGCUUAGGGGACACGCGUCACACCUGGAAGUCUCCUACUCUCUUUCUUCUCUAUCUCUCUCCCGGCUUGGUUUGGUGAAAUCCGUGGGUUUCGAAUCCAAAUCGUCGUGAUUGAUCGUCGAGGACGAAUCAGUAGGCGAUUCCGUUAGCUAUGGUGGGGUGGGAGAUAGCGUUACACGGCGGCGCCGGAGCCAUUCCGAUCAAUCUCCCUGACGAGCGACGUAUCCCUCGCGAGUCCGUCACUGCUUCGAUCUCGGCGUUCCACCCUCAAAUCCGGCAAACAUCCACUUGACGUCACCGAACUCGUCCGAUGGAUCAGACAGAGGAGUAUGUCAACGGCCAGCUCAAGAACAAAUACGGUGAUGCCUUGGCGCUUAGAGAUGAGUACUUUGCUGUUGAUGAUGAUGAAAAAGAAGCUGCUGCGUUGGCGCUUAGAGAUGAUGAGAUUCGACCACAAAGCAUUUAUAGCUCUCGGCUUUGUUGCGUUAAGAGCUGAUGGAGAGAGGGAGUUUCUGUUCUUCAGACACCCAAGUGCUGAUAUGCUUCUUACGGAAGCUGAGCUUGACAAGAACUUAAUCCAAAAGGUGAGAUGACUUAUGUAAAUCUUCAACUAAACCCUGAGAUGAUCAUCAUCAUCAUCAGCUUGCCAAGAAACUAACAGCCGUUGACCUUGUUUCUAUUGGAGUUGGAACAACAAUUGGAGCAGGAGUGUAUAUUCUAGUGGGAACAGUAGCUAGACAACACACAGGACCUGCUCUUGCUGUAUCGUUCUUCAUCGCUGGAGUAGCAGCUCUCUCUCCGCUUGUUGCUAUGCUGAGCUUGUUCUUAUUGUCCAUCUGCUGGCAGUGCUUAUCAUUAUGCUUACAUCUUCUUGGAUAAGGGGAGAUCAAGCGUUGAUCAUAGGUGGAGCAAUAGAGUUUGUGAGAGAGCUGGAGCACCUUCUACAAUGCCUAGAGUUAAUAAAAGCGUCGGAGAAUCCUUGGAGAAACCGUUAAUAGGCAAAUUAGAGACAUGACCACGACAAUGUCUUCUUCUUCACUAAUAACUUCAGUUGCUUACCCGGUAAUUAUUUCUGGAAAUGUAACUGAACAGAGGGUGGCGGAGGAGGCCUCGGUAGGAAACAGCACAAAAGCCCGUGCUUGCCUGAUGUGGAGGUGAAGCUGCUAAGGUUUGAUGCCAUGAUCAAGAUACUUUCAAGAAGAAGACCAGACAACUGAUACUAUUGCUGUUUUGGAGGAUCUUUAUCUCUCUAUUCUUCACACAAACUUCACUACCAUGGAACAAACCGUCAUGUACUUUAAUGGCAAGGCAAAUUUCACCUUCGUAAAUUAUAAUCAUACGCAUUUAUAUGUAUAGUACAUCCUACAUAUAAAGUUUCUUACCAUAUGAUUGGAUUGCUUUAAUUAAAAUAUGCAUAUUAUAGUAAGCUACAAGGAAAAGUGGACGUUGAAGGUUUCCUCCCAGCACAAACUGCCAUAGACGCAAUUAAGGACUCCAUGGAUCUUUACGCAGCUUACAUCAAAGCUGUCUUGCAACGUUAAUGAACAUACCAGUCAAAUCCGUUCCUCCAGGUUUGCUUUCAUACCUUCUCAGGUUCUCUGGAGAACAUCCUGUUUAUGAAUUUGAAUUUAAUCCAUUUCGUUUAGAUUCAAGGUCUUAUGUUGAAAUCCGUAUGAAUUUUAGUCAACACGGAUCUGUGCGGAUCGUUGUCAAUCAAGAUAAGAAAACUCUGAAUUUGUUUUUUUCUUCCUUUCUUGCGAGUGAAUGAAUUAUGUUUUGGUUUUCCUUGGCACAGUGUAAGGAAGUUUGUGUAGUAUGUACAUGAUGAUGACAUCACCAAGUCCCAUAUUCUCAAUUUGCUUUUUAAUAUACCAUAUAGACACUUUCUUAGCAACUCUGUUGACUCUCUGAACGUUCUAAACAUGUAACCACAAACAAUAGAAACAAUAGAUAAAACAUGCAGCCAUUCAAACAAUCAGAGCAGUAGAUAGUUAGUUAAAUUUGUUGGCCAUAGCAUCCUAAACGCGAUGAUAAUGUAUAUAGAAAAUCAUUUGACAUAGGUUUCAUACAAAACAAUUUAACCAAUUUUUUAAACCUACCAAAAAAGUCAAUCAACAAACAACAGUACAAGAUCCCGUAACAAUUUAACCAAUUUUUUAAGCUCUCUCCACAUUAACUAUUUCGUGAUGAAAAGGUAACUGCUGAAAAUCGGACUACGACACACUAUUAAUUCCCACGGUUUUUUUUUUUCAGAAACACCACAGCUAAUAAUGGUCCAUAAGUUACAUUCGGAUAUUAUUCAAAGCCUCUCAUCUCAUCUGCACAUCUUUUCCCGUUAAAUUUCACAAAUUAUAUAUCAAUUCUUUCAUUUCAGUAACUUUGAGAAAAUACAAAUUGGGCUUUUGAUUUUUUUUCCUUAGAUUCUUUCGAGCUUUUAUGAGUCCUAGAUCGUUGGACAUAUAUAUCAUCAAAAGUAAUAGAGAAGACAUAGGUUUUGUUAAGAAGACUUUUUAUUUGUCAAGGAGACUUACUUUUUUUUUGGUCAAGGAGACUUACUAAACAAAAAAAAAAGAUGGAGAGAGGGAGAGACUAUUAUUUAAUAUGGAGUUAUUUUUAAAAAUGUAUAUUUAGCUUUGUAAUCGUGCUUGAUGUGAUAAUUAAGUCGAGGACUAUUCAGGUUUCCAUACUUAAAUACGAAAUUUGAAGGAUAGACAGAUAAUUUUUUAGAACAAAAAAAACUAAGUACAAUAUUUUGAAGUAAUUCUCAUGAAAUUUGCUUAUUUUUUGUCAAUAAACUCAAGUUAAAGAAAUUAACAAAAAAAGAAAAAUGGAAACCAUAACCAAUGAUUAAUGAACAAUCAAAACAAGUAUUUUUUUUUACAAAAAAAUAGUUUAAAAUUAGAGUUUAGAAAAUAUAACAUCAAAAAAUGAAAAAAAUAUUGAAAAUACACCAUAUAAUUACGAAAAAUAAGCCAACAAACAAUAAUUUAGUGAGAAUGCAUAAUCUAAUUUAUAAUAUAUAUAAACUUCCAAAAUAUCUAAAUAAAUCAUAACAACAAAAGGAAAGGAAAUACAUUUUUGAUAUUAUUUCUCAUGUUUCAUCAAACUCAGACCAGCGGAAAAAUAUCUAUUCUCGCAAAUAUUUUUUUCUUUUGUGCGUACCAAACUAGAACCUUACAAAAUUAAUAUGAAAAUAGAUGGAAAAGAACAAGAAGUGAUUAUACAUAAUCAAAAUAUUUUAUUUUUAAACAAUAAAAUUAUCUAAUAAAUUAAAAAUAAAAAUACCAUCCAUAGUACUAUCACCAAGUAUCGAUACAUUUAAAAAGAAAAAGAAAAAUGAUGUCAUAACAUUGUUUCUUGAACUUUAAUAUUUAAUCAAAUAAUUACAAAGUUCUGAUUAACCACAAUAUAAAAAAAAUUUACAAAGAAAACAUAUGAUAGUAGAUGAUCUCAAUGAAAUCAAACAAAACAAAGGAACACAUCAUUAAAUAAAAAAAUAUAAUUUCAUUGUUCCUAAACUAUAUAAUUAUGUAAUUUAGUUAACUAUACAUAUUCCGGCUCUCAAUAUCGUAACAUGUUAUAUAAAAAGAUCACUUAUCAAUAAUGUUUCAUAAAAAUAGAUAACUAAUCCUUCAAAACUUAAAAGAAAUGUCUGAUCUUAACACUCAAUUACGUCCCGCGCGAAGCAACUGUUGAGGUGAACAAAAUUUAACUAUUUCUUUGUAGUUACUCAGUCUGUUCGACUCUCAGGCUUUGUAUUUCAUAUAGUAUUUCAUAUCAUUUAUCGAGUAUUAUAUGUAUUAACAAAAAAUCAAAUAGUGUUAUCUUUUUACUACCUAAUAAUUGUUAUUAAAAAUAUAAAUAUAAUGCAACUAUUAAAAUCAAAAUUUAUGCUAUAAAUUUGUUUAUAUGGGAUAUAUUUUACUGUAAACUUUUUUCUUACGUUUUGUGAUCAUUUGUAUUUUGUUAAAAAUAUUUAAUCAGAAAUCACACAAUUUCAAUGGAAAUUUAACAGUUUUUUUAGUAGUAAAAUAUAAGCAAGAAUAAACACAAAUCAAUAAUUUACAGUAUAAUAUAAACACAAAUAAAUAAUAUAUAUAGUAUAGUUUUAGCCCAACAAAGCAUUUGAUUAAUUGUCACUUAUAUAUCAAGUGUUAUAAUAGAAAUUUACUCUAACUAUUCUAAUUAUUUUUGAUUUAUAAUCCCGCCCGUAGGGCGGGCCAGCCCUAGUAUAUAUAUAUAUAUAUAUAUGUAAUUCAAGCAAUGGCUCUGUGCGUCAAAUCGUCUCUUUGUCCUGUAUUAUACCUAAGAAUCUGCAAGCGAUGUUACACUCAUGACGAAUCCGAACUCUUUUUCUGAGUUGAAGGCUGGUCUGUGUAAGGAAACUGUAUCGAUCUGUCUCCUUUGUUUUUGGAAAGCAAAGAAUUUAAAGAAAGGUGGAGCGCUUAUGGGGGAUUGAUAUUGUUAUGGUUGAUAAACAUGUAUGUUAUCUUCAGUGAAUCUGUUUUUUCAAAAGAUCAUUAUUCCAAAAUAGAUUCUAAUGUGCGACUGUGUUUUAUGGAAUGCAGUCUACUCUGAUCUCGAGCUCCAUUAGCAUCCACCGCUUGAACACCUUUCAACACCUCCUCAAGAGAGGGAAGGAUGUAUGAGCUGAGUGGAUUCAAUGUGACAAGGACUAAUUAGUACUUUAAGCUAACCACGCACCCGUCUCUCUUUGAUUCACGCAACAUACCAACAUGGUCGAGAUUACAGAAACCAUUCAUCUCAACCAAUGGAGGCCUUCAUGUUCCGCAAUUAUAAUGAGAUGAUGUUACUAGAGAACACAACCACAUACUAACAAGGUCAGUUUGUGAACUUUGCCUCGAUAUUAGUUUGAUUAAAUGCAUUGGCUCGACCAUAGGACCGUUUCUGUAGCACAAAAUAUAUACACAAUGUUACUUAUCUGUUUACUUUCUAAAUACAUAGGUAAAAUUAGCUUAAAAAGGUGACUGAACAAGUGAGGUACUUGCAAAAGAUGAAGACAAGAAUCCCACUGAACCUAGCGCUUAGCGCUUAUGAUGUAAUCCCUCCCUAUGAUCAAGCAAAGGCCCUUGGGAAGUCAAACAUUGACGUUGGCCAGAUUGCUGCUGGAUUACCUUGUGGUAGUGAAGGAUUACGUUUGAUGUAUGUCCGGUGGAGAAAACUCGAAAAGGAACUCUACAACGAAAGAAGAGAGUAAGUGUCAAUGCUUGUCAAGUUUCAUCCUUAUUUUCGCAUCAGUUUCUUGUGGCACUGAUAGUUGGAAUUAGAGAAUUGAAUAUCAUGCAUGCAACGUUUUGUCAAUGCUAGGUACGAGCUGUUACAUAAUUCUCAUCUCAACUUGAAAGGACUACACGAACUCUUCAAAGUUGUUCAGGUAUGAACUGAAUACAAAAACUGAAGUCUCUCUUCCAUUUUCUGAAACUUAAAUUGUACAUGUACAUCUUUGUUUUGCAUUUUGACCAUGAACUAUGUUGAUUAGCCAGUUAUGUGGUGUGGUUUCAGUUACUUGCAAAUGGUGUAAUCCCAAAUGAGUAUGGGAUCAAUCCACAACAGAAGCUCACAAUCGGUUCAAAGGUGAGAUCCUCAACGUUAAAUUCUAGCUCUCACAAAGGUUUGUAAUGUUUUACGUAUUCAUGCUUUCAUGUUUGAUAUUUUUGGUGAAGUAAUGAUGUUCAAAACCACCUACGAUGAUGAAACACAAACUAUUCAGCAUAUUAUGGUAAACCUGCGGUUAUAACAGUAUGUUAAAGCCUCUGUGCUUGGAAAGUCAUGUUAUAAGUUGUGGAUCUCAUGGUUGUUUUAUGAAUACUAAAAUAACAACAUUGAACCAAUGUUCAGAGGCCCGACUGUUUGGAUAAGUGUGUUCUACGGGAUCGCAACUCUACUUUCCGAGAAAUUGGUGGUGUCCAUGGAAUACUCAAUUCUGUUACGGUGGCUUCAACGUAAACACCAAGCAGAGUUGCUAUAGACCUACUUAGAAACACCCUUUUCAGGUGCAUAUAUAAGUUUACAUUUGGAGUUUAUAUAUAUAUAUAUAUGCGGAUUUGGAUAGCUUUAACCUUAUGAAAAAAAAAACAUAAAAAUGGAAUGUCGUUGUAAAUGCCUAAUACAACUUUGGCCUUAUGUUGGAGUUUUGUCUGUAAUCAUCUGAAACAGUACAGCACACAGCAAACCAACACACACCUCAUAAAGAAUCACCCUUAGGUUGAGCUAUCUUCUAAUAUCUAGCUAGAGUCUUUAUUUUUCUUUUGGCAUCGAUCUAGCUAGAGUCUAUGUAGGUAUCCACAAAUAUGGAUAAGUCCAACACAAACGUCUUCCAAAAUGUAUUUGUGGAUCAAAUUCAAAUAAUUCUGACAUGUUCUUACUUAACGGGUACCUAUUUCUCAACAUUACUUUUUCUAAAAAGAAUAUAUUUCUCAACAUUGUGAAUUAUCAUCCAUACAAUUAGUAUAAAGAAUUUCUGACAAAUUGUACAUAAAUAGAUUAACUUAACUGAAAUGGUUCAAGAGCAACUGACUGGGUGUCAAAGCUUGAUGGUCAACAACUCCCCUCAAAAGUCACAUAUAUGCAAACAGGAUAGAUGAUAACAUCAACAACAAAUUCAACAAAAGUAGGAACUCUACAUUGAAAAUAACACUCAUAAAAGAAGAAACUUGGAAGAACCUCACUAUCAAGCUACUACCGAUGCAUUAUACAAACGAAUGGGAAAGGAUCAUCCGGACCUUAACAGACCAGACAAGCAAUGCGACACGAUUAUUUCUAUUCAGAUACGUCUUCCAAGCUACUUUGUCUGCUAUUUGGAAGGAACGGAAUGGCAGAAGACAUGGAGAAAGUCCUAAUAGCCCUGCAACCUUGAUCAAGAGCGUGGACAAGGCAGUGAGAAACCGAAUCUCUAGCAUGCGUCUUAUGGGAGUGUGCAAGUAUACCAAAGCCAUGGAAACAUGGUUUUUAGUAAGAUAAACUUUGAGAUUUUAUUUCAGAUUACAUAAAAACUCUCAACUUUUGUUGUAUCCAUUGUAAAAACGUUUUUUUCUUGAAAACAUAAAAACGUUUUAUUUCAGAUUACAUAAAAACUCUCAACGUUUUUUACUAGAAAUAUUGUAAAAAAAAUUAUAACUUAACUUUCGAUAAAUUACCAACAUGAAAAAAUUAAUCUUUAUUUUUUUGGUUUAGAAUUAGAUCAGUGUAAAAUAUGACUCAAUUCAGUAAAAUAAAUAUAUUCUUUUCAAAAAACCUCUUAUAAAUAUAUGUUCACAAUAUAGACAUAAAUUAAUAAAUAAUGUAUACAAAAUUUACAUAUAUAUAAGCAAAAUAUUUGAUGUUUUUUCACGCAGUAGUUUAUUUGUAGUUUUUCUAAAAACCUCAACAUAUUUUGAUGUUAUUUUAUUAUUUUUCAUGUAAAAACUCCAUCUGCAUUUAAGGUACAUAAUUUCAAUAUCAAAUGGUCUAAUAAAAUAACAUGAAAUUUGCAUUUGCAAAAUUUAAUUAAUAAACAUACUUUAAAAAAUUCUUUUUUGCAUAAAAAUAUAAUUCAAAACAUAUAAAUCUAUAAAACUCUAAAAACUAAUUUUUUUUAUAAACUAAUAAAUAUUAUAAUUUAUAGUUUUAAUGUAUCUAAAGCUCUCAAAUAUGGAAACAACCCAUAUCAUAUAGUUUACCACCUAACAUAUACUCCACACAUUAAGUUAUUGGAAAUUGCCAAAAAUACCACAUUCAUAAUACCACUUUUCAUGUUUACAUUGAUCAUUUUUACCCUCACUUUUAAAUAGGGAAUACAACAUUUAUAACCCUAAAGUUAACUAAUCUAGAAUUAGAGUCUAGAGUUGAAGGGUGGGGCAAAAAUUUUGGAAUGUGAAAUUUAUGAUUCUAAUAAAUAUAAAAAAAUACAUUAAAAAUAGGGUGAAUGAUCUAUUUCUCCACGAUAACUAUUAUACAACAUCAGUUCCCCACUGAACUAUGACCUCAUUCUAAAUCUCCAUGAAUUAAAAGUUGUAAAUUUAUUUCUCCGUGAAUCAAUAGUUCGAAACUUAAUUACCCAUAGACCAAGGUUUAAACUCGAUUAUUGGCUUUAAUUGGUUUACUCCUAGUCAAAAAACUUAAAAUCAAUUAAACCAAACCAAAAUCCAAUUUUUAUAUUUACUAGAGAUUUUGCCCGGCCACGCCCGUGGCUAUAUACAAAUAACAUAUAUUUUAUAUGUAUAUUGAAAUAUAUUACAUCUAUGUUAUAAAAUAUAAAUAAUAAAUUGAAUUAAAAUGAAUAAAACUCACAAUUUGUUGUCUUCUACUAUCUAAAAUAUGUAUGGGAUAGUGAACAAUGUGAAAUUAAUAAAGAAUUUUUUAAACCUUAGUUAUCCUCAAAAAUAUUUUUACAUAUUUAGUUUAUUAUAAAAUAUAUUAUUAAUCUCAACAUCACAUAUUUUUUUUGUUAUAUGUGUUAUUUAUAUCAUGUGUAUUUUUAUAUGUCUCUUAUUUAAUAUUUUAUAAUAUUCACUGAAAAUAUGUGAUGUUGAGAUUAAUAAUAUAUUUUAUAAUAAACUAAAUAUGUAAAACAUAUUAUAAAAUAUAUUAUUAAUCUCAGCAUCACAUAUUUUUAUAUAUCUAUAUUAUAUAUUUUUUCUUAUGAUUAGAAUCUGUUUUUUUUUUUAAAUUAUAAUUAGUAAAGCUGAUUUAAAUACUCAUUGAUUUAAAUAAAACAACAUUUAAAAAUGUUUAUUAUAAAAUAUUUUAUUAUACAAUAUUUUAUUCUAAAAUAUUUAGUUUUAUAUAUUUAUUUAAAUAAAACAACAUUUAAAUGUUUAUGUUUUACAUAUUUAGUUUAUUAUAAAUAUUUGAUGCAACGAUUUGAGAAUUAAUAUUUGAUGUUUAUUGUUUAUUUAUAAAACACAGAGAAAACAAUAUAGGGUUAUGUUAAUCAGUAAAAGAUCAUACCUACUUGUUGAAGAGCUGCAGUUCAAAGCCAAUACGGAGCUCCAUGUUUCUUUACUCCCAUAAGUGGAAUAAAAUGAAGCGUAACUCUGAGUCAGAGAGGCCUGGUGUGAUGGCGUUGAAAAAUAGAUCCGCCGGAGACUUGGCUAGAGAUUUUGCCGGUUGAGUUUGCCUUGGAGGAGGCCAUUUUAUAGAUGUUGUUGAAUGAGCUUGGAGGUCGGAAAAGGUCUUUAUAUAGGAGGAGAGACAUGGGGAGUCAGAACGAUCAUAUCAAUUAAACUUAAAGGAGUGUAAGAGAAAAUUGAUAGAAGAAACAGGAAUGGAGCAGUAUAUAAAAAAGGAGGAAAAAGGGAGCUGAAAUGAAACCAUAAAGAAGUAGUAUUGAUAGAUCGAUUAAAACUCAGUCGAAAUGGUUUACGGGGAGAAGCCGAAGUGGCAGAGGAGAAGAGAGAAGACGAAGUGGUAGAGGAGGCGAGAAGAGACACGCGACUUCAGCUCCGGGUCGUAGACCUAGGUCUAAUUGUUAGAUGAUCUUAAAGCUCAAUCCCAAAUCAAAAGAAGCCCACACAUAAGUCAAUUCAGAAAAAAAUUUAAGCCCAGCCCGAAAAAUGAAAUAUUCUGAUUGGAUGAUUAUUUAUGCUGACGACAUGUUAGAAUUGGAGAUUAUCCUCUUUUAGUAUAGUAUAGAUUUUUUUAUCAGCCUCCAUCUGUGAUGUAUCUUUGUUUUCUGAUGAACAAAACAGAACCUUUUUCAGUUGUAAAAACAAAUGCGUAAACUCCCCACCUAAACCACCGUAAACCUUUUUAUGUUUCCGUGAUGUACUAAAAUCUCUUUUGCAAUUUUUUUUUUAAAUAAACAUCAAACUUAAGUUCUUCUUCCAAAUCAACAUUAUCUCCUUCAUCAAGGAUAUCCACCCAUGUCUUUUUUUAGAGGCUUAAGUACCCAGAAACCAAAUUCAAGAUUUAAUUCAUCAACAUGUCGGUUAGAUUAAACCCAAAUCAUAUUUUUCACCGGAAACCAUCAAAUAUGUCCGCAGCAUAUGCAUAUAUACCAAAACUACAAGUCUCUCCCGCAGUAUAUUGACGGAUUUACGUUGGUGAUGUCUGCGUUUUUGAUUAAACGACAAUAGAGGAGGAGAGAUUAUAGCCUGGACUGAGGAGAUGCUCAGAGACGAUGAGUGAAGAGUUAGAGAAGGAGAAACGCCGGGAGCAACAGAGCUUUUCGGUUUUAGGAAGACCAGUUACGGUAUUGUGUACUAAGAAGGUUUCGGGAUGACUCCAAUACUGCUUUUGUUCUCACCAAUAAAUUGAUCAUGAGAGAAGAUCAGUUUUUGGCCAUGGCUAGGGUUAACGACGUUGGUGAAAAAGGAGAAGGAAGGCCUCUGAAGAAGAUGAAAAAAAAAUUAUAUAUAAAACUGGAUUUUGGUUUGGUUUAAUUGAUUUUAAUCUUUUUGAUUAGGAGUAACCAAUUAAAACCAAUAAUCCAGUUUAAACCAUGGUUUAUGGAUAAUUAAGUUUCGAACUAUUGAUUCAUGGAGAAAUAAGUUUGCAAUUUUUAAUUUAUGGAAAUUUAGAAUGAGGUCAUAGUUCGGUGGGGAUUUGAUGUUAUAUGAUAGUUAUCAUGGAGAAAUAAAUCGUCCAUCCUUAAAAAUAUUUAAGAAAUAAAUAGUUUCAAAAAUAAUUUUUGAUUUUCAAAAAGAAAUUUGAAAAAAAAAUUAAAAAAUUAAAAUUCAAAAAAAAGUUAUAAAAAUUUGGAAUUUGGAAAAGUAUAAUU